UACGUAGGUGGCCAGCGUUGUCCGGAUUUACUGGGCGUAAAGAGCGCGCAGGCGGUCGUUCAAGUCGAGUGUGAAAGCCCCCGGCUCAACUGGGGAGGGUCACUCGAUACUGAUCGACUUGAAGGCAGGAGAGGGAAGCGGAAUUCCCGGUGUAGUGGUGAAAUUCGUAGAUAUUCGGAAGAACACCAGUGGCGAAGGCGGCUCACUGGACUGGUAUUGACGCUGAGGUGCGAAAGCGUGGGGAGCAAACAGG
rnacentral:rRNA from 1 species